rnacentral:lncRNA from 1 species
GAAGGGAUGGAGAGGUUUAUAGCAUUUUUCGUUCUCAAGAAAUACAUUCUAGAACAUUGAGAAAUCGAAUUUGUUGUGGAAUGAAAGAGUGAGUGGAAGCUUUGAAGAGAGGAAAAACAUAAGCAGGGCUCAAUCACUCUUGACACAGGUUCCAGUUUUACACCACAUCCAAGCGGCUCAAGCCAGUGGACGGAAACGAGAACUCAGAGUCAUCUCUCCUGCUUAGCCGACUUGACUGUCUGCUUUCCUGCUGCUUCCUGUAAGGCAAACGUUCGUAUUUGCUUACAAACUUAAAGUGACCCCCACCUUAUUCCCUUAUAUAUUUCUACCUAUUAUGUGCUUUUCUCUCUCUCUCUCUGCAUGACUCUUCAUUUCUGUCUGUGUGGCCUGAGGAUGAAGACAAAGGGCUGCCCUCUUGACGUGUGGUUCCCUCCUUGCCCAGGAUCUGUGGCUUAUGGAUUACAUUUUGAAUAAGAUUUCAGUGGGCUGAGAUGGAGGGUGGAUUUGGAAUGCAAUGGAACUGUUCCAAUCUGAGGAGACAAUAUGAACAGGGGUGCUGCAGUAAUAUGCUGUGGAAGUGAUCUACAAACAGUCACAAACUCUGGAUGAGAAAAAGGCAUAAGAUGAGAGGAGUGGGAAUUAAAGCUAGAAGUUGUGAGGGGAGCAGUGCUACAGCAAUGAGAACGCUUUAAAUCUUUGAAAAGGAUAAAACCCUAAAAGCUUAGACCACCUGACAAGGUGUGACAGCCUAAUCUUUGUGAGGUAUUUGAAGAGGUCACCACAGCUGUCUGAACUCGAAGAACUGUGACUCUCUCCCGUCCCUGAAACAAUCCCUGCUGAGUUCCAGGCAGCCAAGGGAGGUUCUGCUUAAAUGACUGCAUAAAAUCAUCCUUAGCAUAUGGGGCUUGAAAGUAAUGCUGCGUGUUGUCAGAUACCACCAGUUAUAACUGUCUCCAAGAGCAAAGGUAAGAGCGUGAGCUACGCCAUAUAUCGUGGCUUCUUUCUGGUCCUGUUGCCAUCAAGAUCCAUUCAGAGGCUCCUGGACAAAAUGGUUGACUUGAGUACCUUCAUCCUUGAGAAUGUGAAGCAGAUGAAAAUCAUUUCUUAAUUUGUGGUGGAGAAAGGGAGAGGCAAGGUCGGAGUGUCCAUUUAAACAAGACAGUCACUUAUGCCCUUCUGAGAGAUCAGCAAUCAAAUGGCUGUAUUAAAACUGACACACACUGUAUCCAAAAAGUAAAAUGAUACUUUUUAAGAAGAAAAACCAUCCCAAAAGUUAGGCAGAAUUAUGUCCUUGGCCUUCAGAAAAACACCGCAGCCAGGACAGAAUCGCUUCAUGUUCCUCUGCUCUUUUCUUCCCUGUGUUCUGCAUUAUUACUUGCUAAAUCAAUUGCAGCUGCUGACCUCGGUCCAGUGCAUUUAAGCCCUUUCUUGGGGCCUCUUUAGUGCCCUUUGAGAAUUUCACCCAUAACUCCUUCUCAGUUCCCUAAGCUGUCUUGACUUCUCUACCAGAAAAUUGUGAUUAUAUUUAUAACAGCAUUUUGAGAAUAUUUCACCAAACUGCUAACAAACCCUGUUUUAUACAACCAAUACAUGAUGCCUUCAAUGCCUUUUUCUCUGCAUGAUGGCCUAGAUUAAUGCACUAUAUAAUGUGUGUAAAUAUAGCCAUGUUUCUUCUUUAAAAGUCAUUAAGAGGGUUUUAAUAAACAUUGAAAUGAUCAAU